rnacentral:lncRNA from 1 species
AAUUAACCCCUUUAGGUCUAAGCCCUUAGAGCGCAAUAUCUACUAAGCAAAUAUAUGGAAUUGUUUUAAGGACCCCUGCAGGUAUAAAAAAAAUAUACCUAUAUUUGAUAAAACAUUGAAUUUGGCCUUUACUGCUAUAGCCCAUAGAAACGCAUUGAAUAACACAUUUGUACAUGGCAAACAGACGGUGUCUGUCCUAUUUCUGAGAAAUAUAAGAACUUUGUGAGAGUCUCCCUUUUCUAUAUUGGUGACAUAUUAUUUUGUAGCUCCAAUGGUUCGGUCUGGACAACUUGUUCUGUGAGAAGAUCUCUUCGAAAUGAGGAUGUCCGCGACAGAAAGUUCAGACAACUGACGUAAAGCUUGUGGAUGUCGUAGAGUGGAACAACCGUUGUGUUCAGAAAAAGACCGCUUUCACAAACCCACGUUAUGGAAUAGGCUCAAACUCUAUAUCGGUGGAAAGAAGGGAUUGAGCUGCAGCCACAACAAGAAACAAUGUUUGAGAAGAGGCACGUAGGGGAGAGUGGGGUAAGUUGAGCCAAAGAGGUAAGUUGAGACACACUUGUUUCUAGUAAACCAUACACAAAAUGAAUAAUUUGACCAAAUAUUUAGGAAGUCAUCAUGCUAUUGAGUCUGUGAAGGAAGUAACCACAUGGAAAAAGUGGUAAGUUCGGUCCCCAAAAAUUAUUUUCACAAAGUCAAAUAAAUGUAUUGUUUUAGAGGUUUCAUGAUGCUUGUAUCUGAACAAAAGUAGAUACUUUGAAGAUUGUUUUAUACAUCAGUUGGGGUCUCGAUAAGCUUCAAAAUGAGGUCCUAAACCUAGCAUGAAAGUGCAUCCUUGUAGCUCUGUGGGCUAAUAUAGUCAAAAUGUUUGCCUUGAGGUAAGUUGAGCCAAUGGC